AUCACAGCAUUGUGCAGCAUAUAAACCACUGAGCUUUAAACUCCAGACGGACAGAGGAAAACCUUUCAGAGGUGAGGAUGUGCUGGUUUGUGUUUUUGUAUAACUCAAUAUGUAAAAUCACAUUAAUGAUCAACUAAAUGCCGUGAAAAUAGCAGCUAAUGUCUAUUGCAUAUAUAGAUAUUCAUAUGUGAAUGAGGUUAUGAAGGGAAUGAGGCAGUAGAGGGCGAUACUGAUUAUUCCUUAAAUAUCUGCCACACAUCUUCCUCUUGGAGCUCGUGGACAUGCUGGAAAUCACUAGAAUGAGAGUUGAGGUCUGGACUGUGUUCUGAUAGAGGACUGUGUGUGUUCAUCAAGUGGAAGUUGAUUUGAUUGUUUUGCUGCUUGAGGUUUCUGCAACUAUUUAUGAGUGUUUGAUGUUUUUAUACUUGUGAUUUAUGUCAGUAUUGUUGUUCUUUUGUAUAAUAACCACACCUUGAUCCACAUGUUGAUCCAUAUCUCAAAUAAAAGCAACUAAUGAACUUUGUGUUUUAUAAUCGAUGCCCCACAGUGAUUUUCUAUUUAACUAGUUCUCAUGAAACUUUAUUACAGAGGUUGCAGAUGCAGUCAGGAGUUCACUUGCUCUCCAGUGUUCACGGACCAGAUCUGACUGAUCCAAUAUGGUGGACGACUCACAUGUAGAUCUCAAUCAUGUCACAGAUCUAUAAGAGCACAAAAUCUCAAGGCAGAUAUACAUUUUCCACAACAUUUUUAGUCUAAAGAGGGUAUGAAUAUGAGGAAAUUUAACAGUGACACUGAUGGACUUUGUCUAGUUGUUUCUCUCAUCUAAUGCUUUGAAUGCUGACCUCAAUAAUUUAUUAAAAAAAGAUGAAUUUAGAUGAUUUUAUUUCAGAUGUUUGUGUGACGAUGUUGUUUCAGAUCCUCCUUUGAGCAGCUGCAGUAUCAGUUCAGUCACUGUGACUCUGACUGACGGAGGUUUUUGUACGACUCUUUAUCACUGUGUGAACACAUCUUUACUGUUGAUGUAGUGGAAACUCUGACAGUAAUAAUGUCCAGCAUCUUCAGUCUGGACUCCACUGAUGGUCAGAGUGAAAUCACUGUUAGAUCCACUGCCACUGAAUCUAGAUGGAGUUCCUGACUGGAGGGUGUUUGUAUAAUACAACACAGUCUCACCCCCUACUCGUCAAAUGUCUGACGCAUGGUCAGUAGACCCUGGCGUCACUUUUUAACGCACUGGGUAUACCUUUGGCGUUAUUUUUCGACGUGCAGGGUAGUCCGAUAGACUUCUAUAGAACUCAACAGCGUUGAAAUUUGACGUCUUGGGUCAGCACACCGCAACCCGUUGUCUGCCUUAUGGGUCGACACUACAAUAAAUAAAAAUAAAAAAGGAAUAGGCUACAAAAAAUGAUUUAGUAAGCAUUUUAAGUAAGCAUUUUAAGAGUUUUCUUGUCAUAGGUAGGACACUGCUUUAAUUAUAGCAUGCUGGAUAACGUUUUUAUCGGAGGUUUGUUGAUUUUAAUAAAUAUAUAUAAUAUGCUACGAUUGAGUUCAAUUAAUCUUUUUUUGUUGUUGUUGUUUUAUUAAAUCCUCUAAAUUAAUAACGCUGACGUCAACGUAUGGGCGAUCCCAAGGUCCAUUGCGAUUUUACACUCGAUUUCAAAAUGUCUCAAAGGAAGUUCAAGCCUUGCCCUUCCUGCCAAGCACCUAACCAGGUGAGGGAAAGUGGAAUAGAGCAUUAUGUCCAAUAUUCAAAUAUGUGGUUUUAAUGUUCUACAUUUCUCAUUAUUGGGUCAAUUGGACACUAAAGUAUGCUCCUACUAAAUGACCCUGUAUGAUAUCUGUACUGUGUUACAAAACCGUGAUAAUGUAAGGCAUCUGGUUGAUAUCAAUUUUGAUUGCUUGUUUUGCACCAAACGCCAGAGGCAACAUUGAUUAGAGUAGCCUGGGUGUCUCCUACAUCUGCCACUUUCACUGUAUGAUUAUAAUAAUAAUAAUCCUGUGUCAGUCUAGAGACGCAUAUUCUGAAUUGCAUUGUGCUUCAUGUGUUCCUCUCUUUCCUGUAUACAGCCAAAUUAAACUGUAUCUUGAUUUGUAAUUCUUAUCUGUGACUGUGGAUCUGAUGUCUCACUUUGGUAUACUUUUACCAACACAGGUGAGCCGCAAAACCUGCAGCUCUUGUUUCUCACCCAUCUCCCAAAAAAUCAAAGUAGCUGCCAAAAAAAUGACCCUGGACAGGAAGUGGGGGGAAAGGGUCCUAAAAAAUAGAAAUGCGGGAAGAGUGGUGGACUCUGCCCAUAUUGCAGUAA